GUCCAGUAGCACCUUAUAGACCAACUAAGUUUAUUCUGGUGCACAUGAAAGCUUAUACCAGAACAAACUUAGUUGGUUUAUAAGGUGCUAUUGUAC